ensembl:piRNA 21ur-12737 ncRNA
UUUCUUAGCUUGUGUAUGAUU